rnacentral:rRNA from 1 species
ACUUACAUUAACAUUUAGGCUGUCCCUGCCAAUCUUAUCUGAUCUUGGAAACUAAGCAAGGUCACACCUUACUGAUACCUGGGUAAGAAAUCACCUGGGAAUACAAGGUAUUCUGGGCU